GACUCUCGGCAACGGAUAUCUUGGCUCCCGCCACGAUGAAGAACGUAGCGAAAUGCGAUACUUGGUGUGAAUUGCAUUGCAGAAUCCCGUGAAUCAUCGAGUUUUUGAACGCAAGUUGCGCCCGAGGCCAUUCGGCCAAGGGCACGUCUGCCUGGGCAUCA